GCUGGGUGUGGUGGUGCGUGCCUGUAAUCCCAGCUACUCAGGAGGCAGAGUUAGGAGAAUUGCUUGAAUCCGGGAGACUGAGGUUGCAGUGAGCCAAGAUCAUGCCACUGAACUCCAGCUUGGGUGACAGAGCAAGACUCUGUCUCAA
ensembl:misc_RNA Metazoa_SRP Metazoan signal recognition particle RNA